rnacentral:rRNA from 1 species
AGAACGAACGCUGGCGGCAUGCCUAAUACAUGCAAGUCGAACGAACACUUCGGUGUUAGUGGCGCACGGGUGCGUAACGCGUGGGAAUCUGCCCUUGGGUUCGGAAUAACAGUUGGAAACGACUGCUAAUACCGGAUGAUAUCGAAAGAUCAAAGAUUUAUCGCCCAGGGAUGAGCCCGCGUAGGAUUAGCUAGUUGGUGAGGUAAAGGCUCACCAAGGCGACGAUCCUUAGCUGGUCUGAGAGGAUGAUCAGCCACACUGGGACUGAGACACGGCCCAGACUCCUACGGGAGGCAGCAGUGGGGAAUUUGGACAAUGGGCGCAAGCCUGAUCCAGCAAUGCCGCGUGCAGGAAGAAGGCCUUCGGUUGUAAACUGCUUUUGUACGGAACGAAACGGUCUUGGUUAAUACCGUGGGCUAAGUGACGGUACCGUAAGAAUAAGCACCGGCUAACUACGUGCCAGCAGCCGAC